CCGGGCAAAAUUCAGUGAUUACAAUGAAAAUAGCUUAUACACAUUAAACUUUACAUCAUUAUUAAGCCAAAUCUCAUGGCUAAAUACAUAUCAAACACAUAUGCAUAAAUAGCCAAAGGUCACUUAUACACUUCAUAAACCAACUAGCCUAUACAUGCCACAUAACCAAAAUCACAAAGCUUUUGAAAUAUCGAAAUGAUAGCUGGAUAGUGUGAUGAAAUCUCUGACGAAUUCCAACCUGAGCAAGCCUCCGAAACACUACAAACAUAUGAAAGAAAACAAAGUAAGCUAUACAGCUUAGUAAGCUCGUAUGAUAAUAUACUAAACUUAUCAAAUAACACAUAUUAAGUAUUUACAAAUUUCAAUGUUACUCAUUUGCUUUCACCGUUAUACCAUGAAUCCAUACCAUAGCUAACCAAGGGUCUCACAAGCUUAUUCAUUUCCAUGUUCAUAUAGAUCUAAUAUAUUCUCACCAAUUCAUUCACAUUUACAUAUGCAUAAGCACUUUAAGAUAUCCCACAUUCAAUCCAAUAUUCAUUACAUAUUCAUAAUCAAUAUAACCAUAUGGAUUUUUCAUAAUUAUCCACUUAGUCAUCAUGUGAAAUUUGAUACCCCUCAAUAAGCAUUUAUAUAAAUCAAACACUUACAUAAACUCAAACCUUUCAAUGUAAUAUACACGAGCUCACAUCUAUUUAUCAAUCUUCUUUCAUUCAAUAUACGUAUAAGUAUCGUACGUACCUGUACCACUUAUUUUGUUUACACUUUUAUUCUUGUCUUGACUUUGCCUGUUGAACCAUUCAGAAUCACUAAGGAUACUCAGAAAUCUCAUAUAACUCGUACAAUGUCAUAUCCCAGAUAUGGUCUUACAUGCUAUCGUAUAUCGAUGCCAAAAGCCAGCUAUGGUCUUACACGAAUCUCAUAUCGAUACCAAUGUCUCAAACAUAGUCUUACACUAAUCUUAUACAGAUGCCAAUGUUCUAGACAUGGUCUUACACGAAUCUCAUAACGAUGCCAAUGUCCAAGGCAUGGUCUUACACGUAAUCACAUCUCAGUAUCCUAAGCUAUUCCUAAUGUUCGUACAAGACUUUUGGACGUCGUAACUUUGUCGAUUCAUGCUUAUACUCAUCCAAUAAAAAUUCAAUUCAAUUCAAUGAUAAAUUAACAUUUAGAACACAAUUUAAGAACAUUAUAUAACAUACAAACUUACCUUGUUCGUUGAAACGUCGAAUUAGGUCGACUAAUCCAAUAUGUAGUUUUUCUCCUGUUU
rnacentral:lncRNA from 1 species